CCUCUCCAGACUUCAGUUAUAAAGUAAAUUAAUUCAAACUCUUUCUUGAUGUGUAGACAUAAUGAAUUAUAGAUCAUUAUUUCUUGAUUUAAGUGUAAUUCAUCACGUAACAAAUAUUGAAAAAUUCCUACAUUAUAUCUUAUCCUUGCUCAGCCGAAGGAUCAAAAUCCUAAACCAAACCUACCCCGAUUGUGCUUUCUGGGCAAAGAUGCAUAAAUACUCGACUAUGUUGCAUGUAUUGCUAGUUGGAAACUGCAGGAGGGUAAACUAUAUUCCACCGGAAAUUAUAUUGUGUUUAGUGCUAUUUAACUUAAACAGCUAAUUGAUCUAUAGAUGAAUAGGUUACAGGAAUCAACCACCCAUCAAUUAUUUCACAAAUACCUAACUCUCUGUCAGCAUGUGAUAAUUAACAUCUGUCCUAAAGAGAACAUGGUUUCGUAGGUGACACAAGCAGCUCUGAGAAACACUCACAACCUUCAACUGCAACACAUAUACAAGCUUACAUAUACAAGAUGCUACCCAGUUGAAAUUAUAAUUCCUAAUUUGCAAUAUUCAAUUGCAAACGACUGAAGCUUCUCAACAAACACUAGGCCCUCUGGCUGAAGUUUGCGAAGCCAGGAUGGGGUUGCCCAUUGAGAGUCUGGUUGUUGGUGGAUGGCCGAGGCACAUGCCGCUGCUGCUGGUGUUGCUGGGCUGAGGAACUGCCAACGUGAUGUAAGGCAGGCUGAUGGGAGGAGAAUUGUGGAGUCAAUCCUCGGUUGAAGGGGUUUCCAUUGACAGCUGGAAUUUGUCCAGUUGCUAUCCUAAGCCGUUGCACCUCUUCCCUCAAUGCUUCAUUCAGAGCAUCUCUAAGUUGUGCUUGUUGCUCCAUAGCCUGUAAUCGAAGUUUGAGUUCCUUAUUUUCAGUUGUUAAUCCAGUAGUGUCUCUCUGUAUCAAUAAAAGAAUAUACAUGAGCACUAAUUUUCAUUCUAAAAUUUUUCAUGUUUUUGCUCAUUAGAUUCUCUCCUUAUAAACGACAAUUUAUUAAUAAAAGAAAAUAAGAGAAUAAUUAAUUAAUUACAAUAAGAUGUAUGAGAUAUCCUCCAUAUGAAACAUAGUUAAUGAAAAAAAUAACAAAGUCAUGCCCUACAAAAAUGAAGCCAAAAACUAAAUUUACCCAAUGAUAAAUUUACUCGUUAUGUUUUUUGGCGAAUUAACCAAUACAGCAGCUACAUACAUGUAACAUGGGGUUUUAUCAAGUUGACUAGCAGGUUCAGUCUGUUUAAACUGCCACAAUUCUGAACCAUGCGCCCAAAUACCACAACAAAUUUAGACAAGUACCAAAGGUGAGAAAGGAAACCAGAUGAUAUAAGAAAAAGAUUAUGUGGAAGAGGAAAUAUGGGUCCCUUUACUGAAAACACAAAUUUAUCAUGGGUGUUAAAAUUUCUUGGUAUUACAAUUUUCAAUGAACAUACUUGCAUCAAAGCUUAUGGCAAACAUGUAAGAGCAUGCAGCUAUCAUGCAUGAAAUCCUAUCAUGUAUGAAUAUAUUAUAUAGAUGUUGAAUAGAAAGUGUAAUGCAUGUUUGUUGAUUGUGGUUAACAUUUCAAACAAAAUGCAAGACUAAUAUUAAGCCCCCAUUUAUUUCAUGGAAAAUGUUUUCAUUUUCAAGAAAAACAUUUCCACCAAGGCUCCAUUUCAUUUCCCUUGGAAAAAUUUUCUGCGUUUUUUAACAUUUGGAGGACUUGAGAAAUUUGAUCAAUGGAAAAUAUUUUACAAGUCAAAGGGAAAACUAAGCUGUUUUUAAGAAAAUGAACUUCUUGUUUCCAAAACAGAAAGACUUAACAAAUUCAAAAAAAAAAAAAAAGGUAAGGAACCUAUAAGAAACUGCAUAGGGGCUCAUAUCUAUUAGUCUACCAAUCAUCUGCAACAGCCACCAAACAGUGACAAGCAUACUUUACCCUCUUGUUUUUAGUAAUUUUCUUUCAUAUUCAAUUCUAAAUAGAAAAUUUUUACUUCUUGUAGGUCCAAACAACGUCUAACCAAGCUAAAUGGCAAAAAAUGAUCCAUAUA
rnacentral:misc_RNA from 1 species